rnacentral:rRNA from 1 species
GACGAACGCUGGCGGCGUGCCUAAUACAUGCAAGUAGAACGCUGAAACUUGGUGCUUGCACCGAGCGGAUGAGUUGCGAACGGGUGAGUAACGCGUAGGUAACCUGCCUGGUAGCGGGGGAUAACUAUUGGAAACGAUAGCUAAUACCGCAUAAGAGUAGAUGUUGCAUGACAUUUGCUUAAAAGGUGCAAUUGCACCACUACCAGAUGGACCUGCGUUGUAUUAGCUAGUUGGUGGGGUAACGGCUCACCAAGGCGACGAUACAUAGCCGACCUGAGAGGGUGAUCGGCCACACUGGGACUGAGACACGGCCCAGACGCCUACGGGAGGCAGCAGUAGGGAAUCUUCGGAAAUGGACGGAAGUCUGACCGAGCAACGCCGCGUGAGUGAAGAAGGUUUUCGGAUCGUAAAGCUCGGUUGUAAGAGAAGAACGAGUGUGAGAGUGGAAAGUUCACACUGUGACGGUAUCUUACCAGAAAGGGACGGCUAACUACGUG